UAGUUGUUAUUAGCUUUGAGCAAAUUUCCAAUGAUUGCAAAUACUCUUAUGUCGGUGCUUUGUGUCUAUUGUCUUAAAUUAGUUUUUUUUGUGUGUGUCUCGUUCCGAUCUUUUGAGUUAAUCUAAUUGCAACUGAUUGUACAGGUUGUUAUUUUACUGUACUGUUAUACCACUGUCCCAUAUUCGGGAUGGAUUGAGUGCUCACAAACAUGUUGUUGUACUGUUACACCGCUGUCCCAGAUAAGAGGGAGGAUUU
rnacentral:lncRNA from 1 species